UACGUAGGGGGCGAGCGUUGUCCGGAUUUACUGGGCGUAAAGGGUGAGUAGGCGGUUAUAUAUGUCAGGUGUAAAAAGCUAUGGCUUAACCAUAGUAAGCACUUGAAACUGUAUGACUUGAGUGCAGGAGAGGUAAGCGGAAUUCCUAGUGUAGCGGUGAAAUGCGUAGAUAUUAGGAGGAACACCGGUGGCGAAGGCGGCUUACUGGACUGUAACUGACGCUGAGUCACGAAAGCGUGGGUAGCAAACAGGAUUAGAUACCCCCGUAGUCCCUGA
rnacentral:rRNA from 1 species